AAAAAAAAAAAAAAAAAAAACUCUAAUGUCAUUAUAAUUUUUGCCACCACAAUUUGUUGUGCACGACAUGCCACCACAAUCCACCACCUAUUCAACAUAUUGCUUUGGUUUUUUUUUUAAUUCCAAGUAAAUUAUUUUUUUAAUAUUUUUAAUUAUUUUAUUUUAGUUUAUUUUUAAUAAAUAAUAUAUACAAAAAAAGUUAAUAUCAAAAUCAUAAAAAAUAAAUAAAUAAUAAGAAUAAGUUGUGGUGACAAUUGCAAGAAAUUGUGGUGGCAUGUGAUGAAUGGUAGAUUGUGGUGGUAAUAGCAAAAGCUAUGGUGUCAUUAGCAACACUCAAAAAAAUUACAUGUUAUUUACCUAUCAAUUUAGUAUGCAAUAUUGAUAUUAUAAGCAAAACUAACAAAACUAUCUAUACACAAUAAAAAUGGAGUUGUAGGAUUGAUAUAUCAGAUGGAUAAAUAUUAUUGUUUCAAGAGACAUUUUAUUAAAUCUCUUUUUUAUAUUUCAAAAAAACAUGGGUAUUGUCAUAAAAUUUAAUUUUUGAAUAACAUAUAAAGAAUGGCUAAUUAUUAAAGUUUCUUAUAAUUUUUUUAGAAAAGAAGUAUGUUAAUUAUUUAAUCAUAAUAAAAAGUAUUUAAAUUUUAAUUAGAUUUAUCUUAUGAGUCAUAAAGGUACCUUUAAAUAAGAAUUUCUGUAUUAGAAUGUUUUGCUAAUAGAAAUUUAUACAAAGAUUCUUCUUAAAACUUUUUGACUAUAAACAUAAAAGACUGAUUUUAUUGACAUGGAUAUUAUUGAGAUCAUUAAAUUUAGCCGACGCUUUCCAUAAUAUUUACUAUAGACUAUAGUAAUUAUUGUAGACUAUAGUAAUUACUGUAGCUACAAUAUUUAAAGUCUAGUGGAAAAGUACUAUUUAUCCUCUCUUCUUUUCUCUUCUUGUAUACGAGAUACAACCAGAUGAAUAGAUUUUGUGUGUGUCAAGCUUUCUCUUCUUAGAAACCCUCUUGUGUGUAUGACUUACUACUACUCUUGUGUGUGUGUAUGACUUACUAUUACUCUUGUGUCUUUCUAAACAUUCUCAACACCUUAUCAGCACGACUCUCUUCUAGACACUAUCAUAAUUUUUUGCUCUAGUCUUUGACUCUUCAAACCUGUUGUUACCCUUGCUUAGUAUCUGCUUCAUGAUCUUGUUCUUCUUACUGGCCCCUCACACAUUAGCUUGCUUAGAGCACUUGUUCCACUCUCUGCCCUGCUUGCUUAGAAUAUCUGAUCCAGCCCAACUCCACCUCAACUUGCUCCCUACUCCCUCUGCGCUUGCUCCCUGCUACGCUCCACCCCUGCUCUCUGCUGUCGAACAACCACCAAAUUCGCCACUACCGCUGCUGCCACUCGCCACCAUUGCCGCCCUAAUGCCACUGCCGCCACUGCCCACCGUUGUCGUGUUGUAACACGAGUAUACAGUGAAAAUAAAAAAAAAGGGGAAUUUUAUUAAUAUUCAGUUACCUCGAAUAUUGGGAGCAUCGACCAACUCCAGUGCAAAUAGUGAGUGGUCAGGUUCAGUCGCUCCGUUACAGUCAGCCGGGGCAUACUGAAAUGCUCCGUUCGAUUCCAAUAACAGGAGUCAGCAAGAAGAGAAGGGCCAAUUCACACGACGGGUUCGAAGAGCCAAUUGGAUCCAAUUUCGAGAAUCCAAUCCGGGUCCUCUUAUCCAAUAUGAAACCUGAAUUGGCCGGUCAACUCAAUGCAGUCUAAUUACAGGAAAUCCAGGUCUUACUACGGGUCUUAGCCAAUCUGACGCGAGGACCAAUUUGACCCAAUUACGGGAACAUCCAGGUUACUACGGGCAUCUUUCCCAAUAUGGGACUUGAAUUGGCCGGGCAACCCAAUGCAGACCCAAUUACGGGAACAUCCAGGGAACGUUGUUUGCGAUAAAUGGAUCUCUUAAAGGUAAAAACGGAGGAGAAGGCCUUGAUGACGUGAGCCAAUUUCGGAUCUAAGCUCUAACGGCGGGAGCCAAUUUCGGAUCCAAGACGGAAGAUUGAAGGAAUUCAAGAGGAUAAGGUUAGGGGGAGAAUAAGUUUGAAGGGGAAUCAGGGGAGCGGGCAGAAAAGUUUUUGCAAGGUUACUAGUUCGGUUUCAUUGGAGGUUUUUGAAGAUCAAGGGGAUUAGAGAAAGGAGCUUCAUGCUUCAGGUCGGGGAAGGAAAGACAUAGAAUUUGGAUUGUUCUUCUUCGUAGAGUUUUGGAAAGACUGAGGCAAUCGCUGCUGAAGUCAGUAUUGUAAUGGUGAAUCGGGAUUUUUAAUGAAGUGGGUUUGAAUACUCUUGACUGUUUUCUAAAAUCGAGUUACGUCUGUGAUUGAAGGAUUAAAAGGGUAUCUAUAGGAUUGAGUAUGCGGAGUGAAUGAAAUUUAUUGGGUUAAUCUAACAAGACAGUCAGUGGAUACAAGAUCGUAAGUACAAAGCGGUAUUGAAGAUUAACAGUUUGGGUUGUUCGGGGUUCUCUGUAACGUCUAGAGACCUAUCGGCUGGGGCAAAAAGGACUUCGACAAGCAGUCGAAGAGCAUCCGUAUAGAUUUACGGUACAUUGUUGCAGUCGUUUAUAUUCCAGCAGUCAAAACUGAUAGACUGCUUGACUAUCGGCGAAUCUCCAUACUACCUUCUACAGCCAGACGCCCGGCGUAUUCUCGAGCAGGAAAGCACGUAAUACGACAAAAGUGGUGAACCCGAUGUGAAGGCUUGAGGUGGAAGGUAUUGAAUUUCGGUUGAUUUUAUCUUUAUUUUUAUGGAAAACAAAAAUAAAAAUUUUGAAGGAUUUUUGGCAGGAGUUUCUGGUGGGGAGUCUUCUAAAGGACAAGGUAUGCACAUGGAUCCGUCUAUCGCUAGUUUGUUUCAAGCCUUCUCAUUGUCAAUGCAGCAACAGCAAAGCAAUGAUCGAAAGGAAGCUUUGGCAACCAAAGCAUUGCAAGCAAUGGUCAAUAAAAUUGAUCAAUUUGAUGGGAGGAAUAUUUCAAGGUAUUUAAGAUGUUAUGUUCGUGAAAUGGAAUUAAAUCGGGUUUCUGAGAAGAAAAUGGUUGCACUAUUUGGACUUGCCACGAUACCGGAGAUAAGGGACCACAUUACAUCGAUUACGGAUUGUUAUGGGAAUUCAUGGGAGGAUUUUUCACAUGCAUUGAAAGACGUAUAUUUCUUGGAAGAUGCUGAUCGCGUUACUAAGAAGCUGUUUCUGGGAUGGAUUGAACGGCCCAAUAAGAAUUUGCAAGCAACAGAGCUACUAAGGGAAUUUGAGAGGCAGUACUCUCAAUUAUCGAAGGUAGAAAAAUUGACAUUGGAGCCAAACAAAGUUGAUCUAUUUCUUCAAGCUGCUGAUGGAGAAUUGCAAGAGAAAUUAGAACCCCUUCUUGAAGACAAAGAAGAAGAUGAAGGAUUGACAACGAAGUGGAAGAACGUUGAAGAUGCGGUGGGGUUGCUUACAAAAAAAGAAAGGAAGAAGGAUAGGAGCAAUAUUCCGAAAAUAGUACAAGCACCCAAAGCUCCACUACGUACAACACCACCAACAAUGCCUACAGUUCAACCUUCGACAUCCUUGUCAAAGAAAGCAGAUAUGGGUAUGGAAGAAAUUAUACGAGGAAUGCGAGAUCUUCAAAUCAAAUUGGCAAGACUUGAAGAGAAUACUUCUAUAAACAAUUCGAAGAAUGUUUCAAAACAAGGAUAUGUACAAAGAUGCAUUUGGUGUGAUGAUGCUUCACACACUAGAAAAGAUUGCAAUGAAUUUAAUAAUAUGAUACGGUAGGGAAUUAUUUGCUGGAAAGAUGGAAAGAUAGCAUUGAAAGAUAGGAAGGAUCUUCUUCAAACCAAUUUUGGCAAGAGAGGAAUGAGAGCAUUGGUUCAAGAUUACUUAAAAGAGCAUGAAACAGUAGCACGAGAAAGUGCAAGUUAUGGUACUAGAGUAGAUGAUGAAAUUGGUGGAAGUACGGAAACUAGUGAGUUUUGGACUUCUGCCGUUUCUACAAUGCAAGAAGGGAAAUUACCUCGAGAAGCGUUAUUGAGAACUGCAACUAUAAUACGAAGUAGAACAGGUUGGGAGGAUCCUGUUGAGUCUCUUUCAGUUCAUGCAUAUAUUGCUAAGAGCCAACAUGAAGCUUUGAUGGAAGAAAAAAGACGAGGAAAUUUUGAUGAUACUAGAGAAGGAAAUUCUUUUAAGAGGCAAACUCGAGGAGACAAGGCUCGGGAGGCAGCUUCACAAGAAUUGCCUGUAAAGGAUACCUCGGCAUCAUUGGGAGAAAAAACAAAGGAAACAAAAGAUAAACGCAAAUCAAUUGCUUAUAAGCUACUUUCUGACAUUGAAGCGGCAACAAAUUUGAAAAGGGUGUUGGAAGAACGUAUAUUAAACGCUAAGGUGGAAUUCACAUUGAAAGAAGUCUUGGGAAUUGCAAAGAAGGAGUUUCAUGAUGUUAUCAUUGACAGCAUUAAGCGAAAGAGGCAAUUAAUGGGCGAAACUGGAAUGAGUCAUGCUAUUGAUGCAAGAAUAUAUAGAGAUGAAGAAGAGGUUGAUAUUGGUUACAAGCAACCAACAAAUGAAAAGAAUGGGUAUAAUCAGCGAGUACGUUUCGAAGAUUCUAAUGACAAGGAAAUGGAAACUUUGAGCCAUUAUACUCGAAAGCAUUGGGCAAGGGCAACUACUCAGGUAUUGGUGAAGGUAGGAGAUAUAGAAGAACCAAUAGUUGCUUUGGUCGACCAUGGUUCUGAAAUAAAUCUCAUGUCUAAAGAUCUUUAUAAGAAGCAAAAAUGGCCAAUUGAUAUAGAACAUGGAUGGGCAAUAUGAGCAGCUAAUAAUACACGGGGCGAAUUAUAUAGAGCUUGUCCAGAUGUCAAAAUUCGGAUUGGGGAUGUUGCGACGGAGCAACAUUUCUUCGUUCAAGAUACAACAUCUUAUCCGUUGAUUUUAGGACAACCUUAUAUCACAGCAACACGGAUGGAAACAAAAGUACUUGACGAUGGUUCUGCUUGUGCAAGGGUACGGAGCGAAGAUGGGAGGAAAGCUGUACAAUUUCUAACAGUACCUCCUAACCAUGAACGGAAUCGAGAUAGGUUGAGGGAGAAACCAUUGCCAAAGAUUGUUGAAGGAUUUAAGGAUUUUGGGGAGGUACCACUGUAAAGCGAGAUUAUGGAGGUACAAAAGAGGAGGUACUCUCGCGAGAUGAAGGUGCCUUUGAUGCGAGUUUUAUUGGUAUAUUGGAAAAUGGAAAUAUUAUGUAUAAGAAAGUUGAUGAUCUUAAAAGAAAGGAAAGAAAAAGAUUAUAUAAUAUUGAAGGACAAUUAUGCAAGAUAGGUACAUUGCAAGAUAAUGAGAGGAUUUUGGAUGUUUAUGAAGAAAAUGGACUGGAAGAUUCAUUGGAAUUGAUUACAUCUAUUGGGUUAGGGGAUAAUGAUAAGAUUGUUGAGAUUCAUUCGAGAGAGGUUUAUACCAUGCUUGAAUCUUUUCAAGCACUAGAAGUCACAGUAGAAACGAGAUAUAAAACGGCAGAUAAGAAGGUAAAGCCUGUUGCCGGACCAUUACCAGAGGAUUCUAAAGAACAAAUGGGAGAAGCAUCAAAAGAAGCAAGUUUAAGAGAUCCAAUGAGUAUUGGACAUCAGUUUACUGAAGAGACUUUUGAAGAAUUGAAGAUUGGUUCUGAUGGUUCUUUAUUGUCGGAGGAAAUUACUUGCUUCAAAAUUACUUACUCAAUGGCAUACCAUUGGAGCUCAUCGAUAAGAAGACAUAUAUGUUGGUUUUGAUUCACCAAGCAUUAUUCGUAUUGUUGAUCCAUGAACUAGCACAUUAUUAUGUGCACGUUUACAAAAUUAUCGUUUUGAAGAAAUUGUAUUCUCAUCUCUUCAAGGAGGAAUAUCCAAUCAAUAAAGAAAUAAAGUACACAUAUUUGAAGUACCAAAAAUAUUUACAAUGAAUCCCGAUCUUAAGACAUCUUUGGCAGAAAUUGAAGUUGCUAAGAUUUUGUAUUUAAAAUGGAUCGCGGAUGAAACACCUGAUGGCUUCAAUGAUGUAUCUAGAAUUACAAGAGUUCCUAUUAAUGAGGCUCAGAAUGCACCUACUAAGAUUGCAGUGCCAUUGACUACAAUACCUCAAGUUAUAACAACAACAAUUAAAAGAACACGUGGACCAGAUAAGCAACCACAUAAGAAGAAAGGUAUAAAAUUAACUAAUCCUGGUAUUAUUUCUACAGAAAUUGCCACUCAUCUUGAAGGACUAUCAAUUCAUGAUGAUAUAUCUAUGCAUAAUGUACCUUCAAUUCCUAUGAAAAAUAAUCUUGGAAUUAGAAGGAAUAAGAACAAGUUGAGUAAAGAAUUAUCUAUUUUGUAUUGUGUUACAGAUGAUAUUUGGGACAAACCAUCUAUUACAGUAGAUAAAUCAUUUGCAUAUAUGAUUGUAGAAGCCCUUUCUUGCGAGGAAGAUGAUCCUGAACUUCAAACCAUCGAAGAGGCGAUGCGUCGCUCAGAUUGGUCAAAAUGAAAAACUGUUAUUGAAGAAGAAUAUGCCUCUUUGCAUAAGAGGAAAGUCUUUGGUCUAAUUGUAGACACUCUUAUAUCUCGCCUUGUGGGAUAUAAAAUAGUAUUAAUAUGCAAGUGAGAUACUCAAGGCCAAAUAACUUGCUAAAAAGCUCGUCUUGUUGCUCAAAGAUUUACUCAACGAUUUGGCAUUGAUCAUGAAUCCUCAUAUUCUCCAGUCAUGGAUUCAAUUACAUUUUGAUAUAUUAUUGGAAUGACAGUUCAUGCCACCCUUCAGAUGUAUUUCAUGGAUGUAAUAACUGCAUAUCUAUAUGGUUCUCUUCAUGCAAAUAUUUAUAUGAAAGUUCCACUUGGUUUAGAAACAAGAUCUCCAAAUCAACCCGCUCUAGGAAAAUAUCAUGGUAGUAAAUUAUGUAAGGCCUUGUAUGGUUUAAAACAAUCUGGACGAAUGUGGUAUCAACAUCUUCGAGAUUAUUUAAUUACAAAUAAUUUUAUAAGUGAUCCACUAAUUUCUUGUUUGUUUAUUUAACGAGAUAAAACUAGUUUUGUGAUCAUCGCUGUAUAUGUUGAUGAUUUUAACCUAGUGGAUACUACAUCGGCAUGUGUUACAACUACAAACCUACUUAUACGUGAAUUUGAGGUGAAAAUGAUAGAAAAAAUAACUUUCUGCAUUGGUCUUCAGAUUAUGCAUCUAACAAAUGGUAGCAUUUUUCUCUACCAACUAAUAUAUAUUAGACAAAUCUUGCGAAGAUUUAAUAUGAUUGAUGCUUAUCCAUUGUCUACACCAAUAGUUGGACGUGGUCAUGGUGGUCAUGAUCCAUACCAUCCAUGCGAGGAGGAGGAGGAGGAAAUAUUGGGAGACCAAUAUCCAUACCUCGCAGCGGUUGGAGCACUUUUAUAUUUAGCUACAUCUACAAGACCAUGUGUUGCAUUUGCAGUUAGUGUUCUUGCAAGACAUAGUGCACAUCCAAUACUACGACAUUGGAAUGGCAUCAAACAUUUAUUAUGUUAUUUAAAAGGUACUAAAGACUUGGGAUUAUACUACACAAAAUCCGCAGAUCCAAAAUUGGUUGGAUAUUGUGAUGCAAGAUAUAAAUCUGAUAUUGCAACAGCUAAAUCUCAAACAGGAUAUGUAUUUUUAAGACAUGGAGCUGCAAUAUCAUGGAAAUCAGUGAAACAAAUAAUAACUGCAACUUCAUCCAACCAUGCAAAAAUUAUUGCCUUACAUGAAGCAUCUCGAGAAUGUAUUUGGUUGCGAUCAAUUGAUAAAUUCAUUCAAACAACCUGUGGAUUUUCAUAUGAUGAUUCUCCAACUAUCUUGCAUGAAGAUAAUAGUGCUUGUAUUGUACAAAUGCAAGUUGGUUUCAUUAAAGGCGACAUGACAAAGCAUAUUGAUCUAAAGUAUUUUAGUUAUACUCAUGACUUGAUUACUGAUCAAGCACUUAUAAUUAAGAAAAUUGAAUCUACAAAUAAACUUGCUGAUCUCUUCACCAAAGCUCUCCCAUUAAGCAACCAUCAUCGACUUACAUAUGGCAUUGGUAUGCGGCAACUUGCUUUUCUUGAAUAAGAAAGUUAAUGAGCUCUUUAAAUAAUUAAAGAAAAUGAUGUUGUACUCUUUUUCCUUCAUCUAUGGUUUUAUCCUUAAAUAAAAUAAGAUUUUCAUAGAUGAGGUUUUAAUGAGGCAAAAAUUCUUGAUCUUGCAAGAUCACAAAAAAGUAUAGAUCAUAAUUCUAUAUAAAUUUUAUAUUAUGUAAAUAUUAUGAUGAGCGAGGAGGAGUGUUGAGAUCAUUAAAUGUAGCUAGCACUCUCCAUAAUAUUUACUGUAGACUAUAGUAAUUACCAUAGCUACAGUAUUUAGAGUCUAAUAGAGAAGUACUGUUUAUUCUCUCUUCUUUUCUCUUCUUGUAUACGAGACACAACCAGAUGAAUAGAUUUUGUGUGUGUGAAGCUCUUUCUCCUUAGAAACCUUCUUGUAUGUAUGACUUACUACUACUCUUAUGUGUGUGUAUGACUUACUACUACUCUUGUGUGUGUGUAUGACUUACUAUUAAUCUUGUGUCUUUCUAAACAUUCUCAACAGAUAUACAUAAGUAAUUCAUUAAACAUUAUAAAAGAACUCUAAAAUACUGUAGGUGCAUUGGUAAAUUAAAAAAACUGAUGCAGUCCUAAAACAGUCUCUAGAUGGAAUUGAGAUUUUUCAGUAUCCAAUACAAAGAUCUUAAUCUACAAAGAAUACUAAUUAGUUAGAUUACUCAAAAAAAACAAAUAAAUAAAUAAAAUUAACCUUUAAAUUGAUUGUAAUAUUAACAAACUCUCUCAUACACUUUUUAUUUUAUUUGUGAAUAUCAAUGGAAAUCCAAUAUUAUUAUUAUUAUCAUUAUUAUUUGAUGGAAAAAAAUAAAUAUUUUUAAAGAUGGAAAUUUAAAUUUUUUAAUUUAUUUUGAUUUAUGUAUUUCAAAGUCAUGUAACAAACUCACUACAUACAUACAUACCCACAUCCAAUGUCUUAUCAUUAAUAGGUGCACUUCUUAUUAAUAAUGUGAUACAUGCCAAAAAUUUUGUAAUAUUGUUUUUUUUUAAAUAUUAUUAAUAUAAAUAAGUAUUUAUAUUAGUUGAAUUGAAUUCUCAUGCCUAUAAAAGCCAUCUCUUGUAUAUUAAUGUUGUGUAAUAGAAAAGUUUUUUCCAUUCUUUUGUUGAUACUUUGCACUGUAUUAUUAUUGUUAUCUUACAAUAGAAGUCUUUAUUACUAGAAAAAAGUAUUGUUUGUCAAAAACUAUUAAUCCUUACAAAGUAUACUUUAUUUGAAAAAUGAAAAAAGCCACACUAUUGUUGUACAAAUACUCAUAAUAUGCCUGAAAUUUUCGUUCAAAAGUUGUUGACAUGUUCAACAACUAUUUCUUCAACAAAAAUAUUUUAUGUUGAGAAACACACAUGAUUCUAUGUUUUUAACAUACUAUUGUUUCAACUGCAUGAGGUUGUUUGUAACUUUGUAAAUGAUUUUCAAAAAUGAAGUUAUUUUGAAUGUACAAAAAGAUCUUUUUACUUUGAAUGUCAUGAAAAAGUAUAUAUAGUAAUAAUAAUAAUAAUAACAAAUAAAAUAAAAACCAUAAUCACAUUAUGUAUUUUUUUGGUGUAUAUCACCUCUAGAAAAAUUAUAUACAAAGUUUUAUACCACAAAUAUCUAAUAAUCUACACCUAAACCUUUCAUCAUGUGACAUUUUAUGUAACAUUUUCUUAACAUAACUAUAAAAGAAUAAUUUUUCAAAGAUCCACAGUUAGGAUUAUUCGAUACAUAUAUAUUUAUGGUUUCACAAUUCAAAUUUUGCUCAAACAUGUACUUAUGAACUUUGUUCUAUAAACACUGUGAUCUGUAAAAUCCAAACUGUUUAAUAUUUGCACAAAACAAAUGAUGAUUUUGGUAUUAAAUAUGCAAGCUAAUGAUGAAAUGGAUGUUAAACUAAUGGAAUAGGUCAUUUUUCGUAUAAUUAUGCAUUGCAAGUCUUUGAAUGUCAUUCAAUAAGAAAUAUUUUAUUCCAAUGUGGGUAAAUUAAACCAUUAACUUUUAUGACAUUUAUCUUGAUUAAUACUCUAAUUUAGAGGUGUUUGGACGUCUCAAUUUUUCAGUUAUUUACAAUUUGAAGAUUUGAGACACUUAACACUCUAAGAAAUAACCUAUCCAUUUUCCCUUACAAAUAUCAAUAAUAUCUCAGAGUUGACUAUCCAACAUUAUUAAAAAAAACAAAUCACAAUACUCAUGUAUAUAUGUAAUACCAAUGUAGUUUUUGUUUGACACAUGACUUCAAUUAAUUUUAUUUAAGGGUUUCAAAUACUCAAAGAGAAUUUAUUUUGAAAUGUUUUAUUAGAGACAUAAUCAUAAAUGAACUAAAUAAUUUUAAAAACUCAUUUAUCAGAUACACGAAUUUUUUGAGAAUUAAUGUAUUUAAAAUUACUUAAAUUAAAAUUUGGAAAUAGAAUAUAUAAUGCAAAAAAUGCAUCUGUAUAUAGUUGUAUACAAGAUGAUGUUUUGAAUCAUCAUUUUUUUGUUAUACUUAGGUGAUGAAUUUUCAUUUUUCAUGCACUUCCAAAACCAUGAAGAUUGAUUGUAAUAACUGACCAGUCUAGAAGUAUAUUUUUUAAAUUUAUUUGAGUGAUUUUAUUUUAUAAAAUAAAAUGGAUCAUAAAAUUUUAAUUGCUUCAUAAUUUUUCAAAUUAUAGGGAACAUUUCCAUGCACACAUAGUUCAUCCAAUUUUAUUAGUUUGAAAAAAUGCAACAAUAAAAAUAAUAGUAGUUUACGAAUCUUUUUGUAUCUCUCAAAAAUCAAAUAUUUACAAUUAAUAUUGAAUUUGAUCUGAACUAUUUUAUCAAAAGAUAUUUGUGUUCUAAGAUUCUUGAAUUCAUCGUAAUAGUUCUUGAAAACAUAUGGUGUUUCAACCAUUCAUUAAAAUAAUAUACAGUUAUUUUUAGAUUUUGUGUCUAAUUUUUAAAAAAGAGCACUCUAUGUACCCAUUCUCUAAUACUUUACUCUUUAAAAAUAUUCAUUUUUUAAAAUUGGGGAUUCACAAAAAAAAAAUUAAAAAACAUAUAUUUAAAUGCUAUCUGAAGAUUCGUUUAAAUUUGGAAAUUAAUGAAAAAUAUGACUAUCUUUCAUUAAAAGAAUUAACUGUGCGUAACAGGAAAUUUUACAAAAUUAUAAACUUCCUACAUGACUCUUCAAUUCUAUUUUAUUUAAUGGAAAAUUCAAUAGAUUUCAAAUUUUAAUUUAAUAUUUAUAAUAAUUUUGAUAUGUUCUCUUAUAUGGAAAUUUUAAACCCUUCUUUAUUUUGGAAAUUAAACUUACUUAUCAUCUUUAUGUAUUAAUUCUUUAAAUUAUUUCAAUUACUACUUUAAUCAUAUUAUCUAACAUACUUAAUUAUUUAUUAACAAAUUUUUAGUAUGGUUUACAAACUCACUUUUAAAACAUUGUGGCUUUACCACCUACAUUAUCUUUUUCUUUGAUAGCAUGUAAUACAACUAUUAGUUAAACAUAUUUUAAUUAUUUAAAAUAAAAUUUUAAUUAUUUUAUUAACAAUAUUUUGUUAAAUAAUUUUUAGCUUCAGUAUUACUUAUCUACCAUCAAUAGUUACCAUUACACAUGUAAGUUGUGGUUAUUAUUUUAUAUUCUUAUUAUAUGUCUAUGUUUUAGACUCUUCAAGAACAAAUUAUUUAUCAAUAUUCAAAUCGUUUAUUUAUCUUUUUUGAACUUUAUUUUUUCAGUGUUAUUAAGAAAAUGCUUAAAGUACUAUAGAGUGAUCAAUUUGAAUAAAAAACUGAAAAUUCAUAAAUUCUCGGGGGAAUCAUUAAUAUAUAUAUAUAUAUAUAUAUAUAUUGGUAUUUCAGAUACUUGGUAGAAAUUUUAUUUUAUCUCAAGUUUUGUUUAUAUUUAAAAUAAAAUUCUCAAUUCAUAAUUCAUAAGAUAUAUCUAUACACACACACACACACACACACAUAUAUAUAUAUAUAUAUAUAUAUAUAUUAGAAUUAUCCAUAAAAUACGUUGUGUUCUAUGAAGAAGAAAAAAAACAUGAUCUUGGUCUUAAUUAUAAUUUUUUUUUCUCAACUUUUGGAAACUAUUUUAUAAGAAUAAUUCAAAACUUAUUAUUCCUAAAGAAAUCUCAGUUACAUAAAUAUAUAUAUAUAUAUAUAUAUCCUAUGAUAAAAUCAAUUUCCUAAAUUAAAAAUUAUCUAGAAAAAAGAUGAAUAUUAUAUCAUACAAGUUAAAAUUUGGUACAAUAGUCUUAUACUAUCGGUAGCUAUUGUAGUCACUUUCACAUACCCAUAGACAUACAUGUACUUCAGAGAGGUUUUGCGUUAGAAAAGAAAAAAGACAAAAAGAAAAAACUACUUUUGAAGCAUAUACAUUUUUUUUCUUCUUCUUCCAAUUGUUAUAUAUAUUCUUUGAUAAAAAAUAUAUAUAACUUUUUUUAUAAUAAUUCGAAUUGAAAUGAUUCUAAGUUGUUAAAAAACACCUUCAAAUGAAUACUUUAUGUUUAAUUCUUAUGUUCAUAUAUAUAUAUAUAUAUAUAUAUAUAUACAUAUACAUAUUCACUAAUUAAUAAUUUAGAUUGUUUAUUUUUUAAAGUAACUCAAUUAAUCAUCUAAAUUAAGAUCCAUGUAUGAAGUAUAAAAGAAUAUUCCGACUAAAUGUGCAUUAAUAUCUGCAUAUGUUAUUUUAUUAUUUUCAUGGACUUAAUUGUUUUUGUAUUAUAAUAUAUGAGUUGUGUAUUUAAAACUUAUUUUUAAAAAUAUAAUAACAUAAAUAAUAAAACAAAAAUAAAAAAACAAAUGAUUUUUCUUACUUCUAAAACAAGCUCAUAAGUAUAAACUCUUAAAAAUGUUUAAUCUCAUGAAACCAAUACUUGUUGCCGUUUCCAACUAUAUUAGGUCAAAUAUACAUUAUUUUUAUUCUAACAUCAUUUCAUAAGUAGUUUCAAAAGAUUUUUCUUGUUGAGAUGUUCCCAAGUUGUCCAAAACACAUGUUCCAAUAACAUACUCCACAUAUAUACUUGAAGACCCCAAAAACUUUCACAAUUUUUGAGAUGUAUUAGAGCUUUUCCAAAUAUUGCUAGAGAUAGAGCUGAGGCUAGUUUUGGUGAGGUAUUGAUUGUUUAUAUUGUGAGAUAAUAGAGGAGUGUGAUUUCCAACUCCCAAAUUUGUUUGGUUAUUACCAAUUUUGGGACUAUCUUUUCUAUUUGUAAAGUACAAAGAUGACAUGCUACAUUAAUCUCAUUGCAAAACAUUUAUUUAUUCUUUUAUUUUAUUUUCUCCCAUAUACCUAUUGUUAUAUCUUUGUGCCAAAAUGAGAGUUGAUUCUUUUUGGGCCACACCCAUAAUCCAAAAAUACUUCCAAUCCACCUCAAAUUUAAGCAAUAAUAUACCACAACAUUUGACAGUUUCAAUGGGAGUGGGAGGAAUUUGUUUAAAUAUAUAUAUUCUAUUUUUGGAUUCCACAACUCUAAGAAGCACUCACAAAGUCAAGCUAUUUUGUGGCCACAUUAAUGAAGAUAAUGGUUAAUUGCAACUUAAAUGCUGAUGUGGAUACCUAUACCAUGGAUGACAUGGCAAUAAGUGUAUGGAACAAUUCAGUUCACAAUGAAAAAUAUGCAGAAAUACUUUUAAGUGGUUCAGUUGCAGGUUAAGAUAUUUGUUUGUUUGUUUGUUUGCAUGCAUGCUCAUCAUUAGUCUAUUUGUAAAGCAAAAUAUAGAAGUAAUUUAAACAUAGCGUGUGAUGUGGCUCUCAAUUUUAAAAAACAUUAGAUUUCACGUGGGAGAUAUUUAAAUAAAGAAUACCAAAAGAAAUGAAGCUAUCUGAAUAAAGCACUGGUAGUAGAGGUCCUCCAUAAAGGACCAGCUAAAACUAAAUCUCAUGCCAAGUGUGCAAGCCUCAUGGGUCACUGCCAGCUCACCCACUUAGCCACUGCCAGAUGGGACUCCACGUCUCCAGAGUUUGCCAGCGUGGCCAAUGUACUUGGAAACUGAGCUGGCCAUUUCGAUACUACCAAAAUUAUCGCCCCACAUCCUUUGCAAAUUUUAGAUAUCAUCAACUCGAAUGGAAAAAAUUUCCCCCAACUCGACCAUCUAUUUAUACAUUAGAGACAAUAGCUUAAUAUACAAAAUUACACAUACACAUAGCAUUAAAUAACAUAAUACAAUUAAUGGUAAGGAGUAGACUAAUGGCAUGGGUCACCGUGGAUCAAUGGAAGCCCUCUGGCCGCCCACCUUAUGGGUGGCCAGAUUUCAACGAACACCGGGUCACCUUACUGAGAAACGGGUAACUGAACAUCCGGUGACUGUCCAGUGCAUUAACCGCCAGGGGUGAAGAUGGGUAUGUGGGAGAGGUUUCUUGGCAAGUUCGCGUACGAUAUUAUUGUAGGGGAUCCAUGAGUGAAAGGGGGGGGGUUUCGUUCACACUGCGCGUGUGGAUCGAGUUGUUUUUUUUGAAGGAAUGGCGGGGCCAAGGGGACAAAGAUCCUUUUUUGUUGCUCUGGUUGUGGUCCUUGGGAUUAAGACGUCCAACCACCUGAAAAAGUACUUUAAUACUUUUGUAUUCACUUUUUCUUUUUCGCUAGUUUGUUAGUUUUUUGGGCCCAAUCUUUUUUUGCGGCUUUCUGGUGAGUUUCGGAAGACGUGAUGCCCGACGGAAAAAAGUAAAAGGAGCAUGAGAGGCUUCACCAUGUGCAUGUUUAUAUUGAUAUAUUUAUGCAAGUAUGUUGUUGAAGGGUUUUUGCAAACGAGAAAAGUUAUUGUAGAAGGUUUCUUUAGUUCAAUAGGAGAGAAAGAGACGGAACUCUUACAUUUGUAAGUGGAAUUGAAAGAACACACCACUUUUGAAUAUCAACAUGUGUUUAAUAGAAUUCAACAUUGGAAGAAAAAAAAAAAAUUAUAAACCUACCUAUAUGCAUUUAAAAAACAUUAAUCAUAAAUCAAUAAAUUAAUUACAUUUGUAAGUUUUGAAUUUUAAAGUACGUGCUUGCAUUAGGCAAAAAAAUAAAAAUUGUUAAAACUUUAAAGUGAAAAAGAAUGCAAUGCCUUUUCUUUUUUUUUCAAUUUCUUUUUCUUUUUUUUUGCAAGAAAAAGAAAGAAAAAAAGAAAAAAAACUUAAUUUCAAAAUUUUCGAUUUUUUUUUUUUUUUUUUUUUUUUUUUUUGUAGUAUUAUAUAUGUAUGUAUGUAGACACACACACACACACACACAUAUAUAUAUAUAUAUAUAUAUAUAUAUAUAUAUGUUUUUAUACUUUAUUUUUUCUCAAAUUUUUUGUUGGUGAAAGUUGUGGAGGAAAAUAAGAGUAGUGAGAGUGAGAGACUGUAGUUGCAAUAGCAAGCAAAGUUGUCAUAAAUAAAAGACACUUCACAAAGUAAUUAUUAGUUUUUUGAAAUGAUUAUCUUAAAUUUCCAUCCGAGAUUAAAAAUUAAUAUAUUAGUAAUUCAAUAUAAAAAUGAUAAAAAUGAUUUUUAUUUCUUGAAUAUGCAAUUUUUUUCUUGAAUAAGUAAGAUUUUAAAACAAAAUAACCAAUUAAAUUGAUCAAAAGUUUAAAUUUCCAAUUAGUACAUUAAAUUUACUUUAUUUGGAUGUUUGAAGUAGAAUAGUUGGUUACAAUAGAAUCUAAGGCAAUCCCUUUGAAAAGUCUUUAAAACAUUUGGCAGUUUGUAUUUUUUUGUUUUUAUUUUUUAUCUUUAUAUUCAUUUCUCAAUAUAGAAAAUAUUUUUUUAAAAUUACAUUUUUUAAUUCAAAGCUAAAAUAGAAUUUUGCUCAAUUUGAACUAAUUAUAAUGAUUUUUUGGACAAGAGUAACAAAUUUGAAUUCUUUUCUAUAUUAUACUAUGAAAAAUCUAUAGAUUUUCAAUUAUAUAAUUCAAUUUUAUUUAAAAAUUUCUGCUUUUUUCAAAAAAUAAUAUUCAAAGGUUUUACAAAGUUCAAUUUUUCCUAAAAACAUUAUAUAUAUAUAUAUAUAUAUAUAUAUAUACACACAUACAUACAUAUAUGGGAAUAUUAAAUAGAUCUAGGCUUUUUCUAAAUUGACCCACCUAUCCUAAUCAUUAUGGGAAAAAAAAAUAACCUCCAUAUUUAAUCCUUUACUACUAGACAUGAAACCAAUGAAAACCAACCACAUUUAUUAUGAUUUCCAUAUUCUUCAUCAUGGGUAGGUUGAUUUAAUAAAGAUAUGAGUCUAUUUAGCAUUCUCUUAUAUAUAUAUAUAUAUAUAUAUAUGUUUAUGAUCAAAAUUUUGAUAUUAAUAUUUUUAAUUUUAAUUGUUUUUUUUAGAUGAUAUUAACAUUAGUAUUUUUUGGCUGAAUUUUAAUUCAAUUUGCAAGAUUAUUUUUUAUGAAUUAUUAUUUUUUCAUAAUUUUUAUUAUUAAUAUGAAUUAUAGUUCAAAAUAUAAAUUUUAUUAUAUUUUAAAAAUGAUAAUAACUAUAUUAUUAAUAAAACUUAAUUUAUGAAGUAAUUAAUAAAUCUAGCAUCAAUGUUUUAAACUUAGAAAAUAUUUAAAAAUUAUUUAUAUAUUACACAAGGAAGCUGUUUUAUUUUAUAAAAGAAUCUAAUCAAGUAUGGUGAAGUCUUUGAAUUAUUUUACCUAUUAAAAUGAAUGUAAAAUUACAAAUAUUUUUUAAAUUUUAUUUUACAUAAUUGGUAUUUUAAAAUCUAAUAGAAGAAAAUAAUAAUAUUUUUUCUUUAUACAUAUAAAAAAUAUUUUUUAUUUUUUAUUUUAAAAUAAAAUUUAUUAUAAUAGAAACAAAUCUAAUUUAUAUGUAUUACUUUAUCUUUAUAAAGUAUCUUUACUAUUUUGAUUUUUAACUUCUCAUGUUCUUUUUGAUUAAUGUAUGCUCAAUCAACUUGUUUUGUAUAUUCUAUAAAAAACAUUAUUCAUAAUUUAUUAUUUUAAAAAUCUAAUUUUAAGAUUCUAAAUCUUUUAAAACUAUCAAUAGUAAUAAUAUACUAAAUUUAUAUCACAUCUUAUACUCUUUAAAUUUAAUUUUUAUUUCUUGAUAUCUAAUAAAAUCGUAAAUAUUAAUAACAUUUUUAAUGAAAUAUAUAUCAUUUAGAAAAUGUUGUUAUGUACCAAAUAAUAAUCAUUGUGAAAUUGCCACAGAUAUGGUGAUGGUAUCUUUUUAGUUAACUAUGUCAAACAUAUAUAUUAACUAUAAUAUAUUUUUUGUAUUUAUCUAUUGAUUUAAAUUAAUAAAACAUCUUAGAGUUAUUGUAGUAUAACAUCUAAGAAGUCUUAUAUUCUAUUUACUUAUUAUUAGUAUAACAUAACAAAUUUUUUUGUUGUUUAAGACCACCUCUAUAAGAAUUCUUGCAGAAUUCUUGGUAGGAAUGACUUCUUAACUAUUCCCUCACUAAAGAAAGUGGGAGAAAUACCUUUAUAAUACAAUGUACAUCUUAUUGGCUAAAAUAUUUAUGUAUCUUGUGAAUAAUCUUUAGGUGAUUCCAACAAUUUUGGUGCAUAUUUUUUGAAAAUUGCAUUUGUACAUAUAUUUAAUGAAAUUAUGUUUCAAGAAUUUUAUUAUGUAUUUAUAUUUUUUAUAUGCAUAUGUAUCUUUGUACGUGAUUGAUUAAAAAUUGGUGUUAAACUAUUAUUAAGGUAUCAUAAUAGUGGCAAAGUUGUAAAAUGCAAAAAUUUAAAUAGAAAAUUAUAUGAUUAAAGAGUUUUUUUUGGAUUGUGGUAAUUAAAAACUAAACUUUUUUCGACUAAUAAAUAUUUUUUUAAUUUUUGGAAGGAAGCAUAUGUACAAGUCUAUAAAAAAAAAAAAAAAAACAAAAAAACAAAAAAAAAAAAAAAACAAACAAACAAACAAAAACAUCAUAACAAUGGUGAGGAAAAUUAGAUGGAGCCUUGAAAAUGAGGUAUUAAAAAAUGUUGUAAGUAUGUAUUAAAUACCAAAGUCAUAGAUGAAACUAGAGGAUAUAUAUAUAUAAAAAAAAUUACUGACAAAGUGAUUGUGUCCAAAGCAAAAAAUCUACAAUUUGCAUUCAGAAGUACCAAUGCAUAAGAUCACAGAAACAUCUCUAAUAAGAUCUUUUGUAAGUAAAUAACAAAUUUUGUCUAAUCAAGAGAUGAGGAUAAAACAUUAUUUUUAUUGAAUUUAUUUCUUCCGUUAUUAAACAUUUAUUAACUAUUUAUUGCAUAAAAAUGAUAAAAAAAAACUACAAGAGAUUAUUACAAUUUUUUUUUCUAAAAAGAUAAGAAAGAAAUCUAAUAAUAAGAUUUUUUAUUUUAAAACAUUGUUCUUAAUAGUUAAAACAAUAGACAAAAGAUAAUGCAAAGAAAAUUUUAGAUUAAAAUCUAGGAAUUAGUUUGAUACAUCAAAUAUUAAGCUUUAUGAGUACUAAAAUCUAAUAAAGUAUAAAAAAUAACACAGUAUAUAUAAAAUAAAAAUCAAUCAUUAAAAAAACUAUUAUUAUUAAUAUAAGUCAAAAAAUAAGAAAUUUCUUUGUUAUGAUGAUUUUUAGUAGAAAUGUUUGAAAUGUAUAGAUUUUUGUUUUGAUUGAUUUUACUGUAUAAAUCAUCGAAAGUACAAGUUUCAUAACUACAAGUUUUAUAAUAAUAGAAUUUAAUUUAUUUUAACAUAUAUAUUAUAUAAGAUAAGACAUUGUCUGUUUCAAAAUAUUUAAGAAAUCUAUUACAUAAUUGAUGAAUAUUUGGUAAAAAUAUUAAUUGAUAUGUUGGUAUUUUUUUUAAAUAAUAAAAAAAAGUAGAUGAAAAAUUAAAUAUUAUUUAAUAUUUUUUGAAGCAUCUUGUGUGGUAAUGAAGUAAAAAACAUUUAAAGACAUUUACAAACUUGUUAGAGACAUUCUUAUGAGAGGAACUAAUAAUUUCUCUUUUUGAUAAGAAAUUUCAUUAGACUUAAUUGUGGCACGUAAAAAUAGAUCAAAUGAGUGAAUAAGGUCAUAUAGAAUUAUACAAGUGUUGGUUAUUAAAUAGAGAAAAUUUGUGGACGAUAGAUGUUGUAGAUUUUUUUAUAUUUGAAAAGCACUAUAGAAUUAAAAAACUAUAUCAGUAUUCAUUACAUUGAAGAUACACUAAACUAUAUACAUCCAAAUUUGUAAAGCCUUGUACUAGUUGUUUUAAAGGUUGCAGUAUUAUAAUUUUUUUAAAAAAUAAAAUUAUUACUUCAAAAGAUGUAGAUAUAUGAUGAUAAAAAUCUAAUUGAAAUUAGACUACCAAACAUACCUUAAGCUUAGAAGUAUACUUUUAGUCAAAUUAAGAUCUGUAGAGGUCAUAUGGAAUGUUAUAUUAACAAUUCCAUUUGGAUAUUGUUGUUGAUUGCAAUGUUUAUUUAUAUAAGAUAGUAAUAAAAGGAAUUACAAAUAUAAAUUAAAAUAAUAAAAUAAAUUAAUAAAAUCAAAUCGUCAUUUUUUUAUUAAAUAUAAAUAUAAAUUUUAAUUUAUUAUUAUUAUUUUAAUCCAAAUAUGGUAAAAUAUAUAUUAUUAAUUGAUUUUAUAUUGAGUAACAAAAUUCAAUUUAAGACAAAUUUUUUUGUAGCUAUUUCUUACAUAUUGUCCAUUUAAUUGAGAUUUAGAAUGCUAAAUUUGCUUACUAUUUAAAAUUAUUUUUAUAGAGGUUCUAAUGGGAGAAGGAAAAACUUGCUUCUGUAUAAAAAUAAAAACAAUCACCCCAAAGCAUAGUAUAAGCACUAUUUGGUGAGCAAUUCUAAUAUUUCAUAAAUAAUCUUUAAAAAAAUUUAUUAUCUUUGUUACAUAGCUUAAGAUAAUUAUUUUUGUAUUUUUAUUUAAUCAAAAUUAAUAUUUUUAAUAAUAUGCAAUAUUAGAUAAUACCUUAAAUAUUUUUAAAUUCUAUUAUUUUUUAAAGUCAUAUUAAAAAUGCAUCAAAGAUAUUAUAAAAAAAUCAUUUAAAAAAAAAUUUUAUUUAAAAAAUAAAAAAUAAAAAAUAAAAAUUUAAUAAAAUAAAAUAUAGCAGUUGAAAAUAAAAUGAUUAUAUAUCACUGAUAGUCCAAAGGAACUAAGCUCUUUAUAUUAUAUAAUGUAGCAUGUCAUAUGACAAUCUAUUUAGGAUGUAAAUAAAAAAAUCAUCUAAGAAAAUAAAAUAAAAUAAAAAUCUAAUAAAAUAAUAACAGAAUACAAUAGUGAUUUUGAAUAAUUUUUUAUUUUAAAAUAUUUAAUUAUUAAAAGAAAACUUAAUUAGAUCUAAAUUGAUUAUAUUGAGAUUAUUUAUUAACUUUCUAUUUAUGUAGUAAGAUCUGUUGAGAUCAUUAAAUGUAGUCGACGCUCUCCAUAAUAUUUACUAUAGACUACAGUAAUUAUUGUAGCUACAAUAUUUAGAGUCUAGUGGAGAAGUACUAUUCAUCCUCUUAUCUUCUCUCUUCUUGUGUAUGAGACACAACCAGAUCAAUAGAUUUUUGUGUGUGUGAAGCUCUCUCUCUUUAGAAACCCUUUUGUGUGUAUGAUUUAUUACUACUCUUGUGUGUGUAUGAUUUACUACUACUCGUGUGUGUAUGACUUACUAUUACUCUUGUGUCUUUCUAAACAUUCUCAACACUUAUCAGCACGAUUCUCUUCUACACACUAUCACAAUUUUUUUUUUGCUCUAGUCUUUGACUCUUCAAACCUGUUGCUAUCCUUGCUUAGUGUCUGGGUCAUGAUCUUGUUCUUCUUGCUGGCCCCUCACACAUUAGCUGCUUGCUUAGAGCACUUGUUCCACUCUCUGCCUUGCUUGCUCUGAAUACAUGAUCCAGUCCAACUCCACCCUCUGCUUGCUCCUUGCUGCGCCCCAAACUCCCGCCAAACUGCUGCCGGAGAGACACCGAACUGUCACCAAACUGCCGCCAAACAGACGUCGAAUCCGCCACUGCCACUGCCGCCGCUGCCCGCCGCCGUUGCCGUCGUAACGCUGUUGCCUGUCGCUGCCACCCACCAUUGCCCACUAUUGCCAGCCGGUGCUGUCUGCCGUUGCCUGCCGCCGUCCGCCAAUGCUGUCCGCCACUGCCACCCUACCGCCCUACCGCUACAUGCUGUCGCCAUUUUAUUGCUGUUUUGUUGCCUUAAUCUAUAACUCUUUUUUCUUCUAUAUAUAUAUAUAUAUAUAUAUAUAUUAGUUUUUUCAAGUUGAAGUUUAUCAUUUUAUUUGACUUUAUAUUUUAAGGUAGGUUUUACUCAAUUUUUCUACUUGAUCUUGUAUUUUCUUUACAGAUUUAUUUAUAAUGAGUGCUUCAACAUCUUCAAUUGCUUCUACUAUGGUUCCUACUAUUACUAGUGCAUCCCAAUAUUUUCAAGCUCUUUUAUUUCCACCAUUGACUGUGGAUGGAAACAAUUAUCUAUUAUGGGUAAAAAUGGCAAAAGCAAAUUUAUUUGCAGAACAACUCUCGGAUGCCAUUAUGUUUGAAGAAUCUCCUUCAACAAGUAUUUUUAUAUCUCCUACUAUUCAUUGGAAAGCACUUCUUUUCCUUCGUCAUCAUCUUGUACCCGCAUUACAAUAUUAAUAUUUGGAAAUUGAAGACCUUGCAAAACUUUAGAAGAAUCUUAAAUCUAGGUUUGAUCAUCAAAAGACCAUUUUUCUUCCAUGUGCACGUCAUAAUUGGACACAUUUAUGUGUCUUAGAUUUUCCAAAUUUAAAUGCUUUCAAUAGUAAAAUGUAUCGUAUUGUCUCACAAUUAUGAUUAUGUGGACAAAGCAUUUCUGAAGAAGAAAUGAUUGAGAAAACUCUCUCUACAUUUCCUCCUGUAUCUGCUAUGCUUGCACAACAAUACAGGAACAUGAAAUUUCAGAGUCAUUCUGAUCUCAUGUCCUAUCUACUUCUUGCGAAGAAGCAAAAUGAGCUACUCUUGCGCAAUGUAGAAGCUCGUCCUAUUGGAACUACAGUUCCUGAAUCUCAUGCACUUAAUAUUUCAAAGUCUAAGAAGAAAUUAUAUAAACAUGGGUAACAUGCUCAUAAAUAUCAGGGUAGUCAUAGUCAAGACCAUUUCUAUCCAUAUGGAAAGAAUAAACAUUCUACUAUUAAUUAUAGAUUAUAUAUAUAAAUCAGAGAUGCGUUCUUGCCAUAAGUGUGGAAUGAUUGGACAUUUAGCACAUGCCUACUGUACUUCAAAAUAUUUUAUUAAAAUAUUCCAAGAAAAUAAGAAAUUACGAGCUGAGACUUGUGAAGUUUAUACCAUGGAUGCCUCCAUGGAUUCAAUUGGUGUUGAUGACUUAGAGGCUUAUAUGACUGAUAGAACCUCUAAUGAUGAAUCAAAUGAUGCGCUCGUUGAUUCUGCAACAACACAUACUAUCUUGCAAGAUAUUAUAUUAUAUUAUAUUAUAUUAUUAUUUUAUUAUAUUAUCUUUACGAUUUUUUAUUGAAAAAUCUUCAACUUGGCAAACCAAAAAAUAUGAUGAUCGUGGCUAGAGCAAAUGCCUUUUAUUUCCAAGAGGGCACAGCGAUGGUAAAAUUACAUAUGGGUUCCAUCAUAAAAUGUAAACAUGCGAUGUUUGCACCCUCAGCACCUCGGAGUUUGAUCAGCUACCGAGAUGUGCGUAUUAAUGGUUAUCACCUCUCGACCGCCACUUUAAAUAGAAAAGAGGUUUUGGUUCUUGCGAAGAACCAUAAAGUUUUUGAAAAAGCUUUUGCUACAGAAAAUGGUUUAUACCAAAUUGUGAUUGAGCCUCCUAUUAUAUUUAAUUUUGCAUCAUCUAUCUUAGAGAGUUGUGUUUCUCUCUAGCAUGGACGAUUGGAACAUCCAGGAUCUACAUUAUUUAGAAAGAUCAUUCUAGGUAUAACUGGGCACAAUUUAAAGCCUGCAGAUGUAGAUUCUAUGGAAUUAUGUCAUGCAUGCGUACAAGGUAGAAUGAUUAUUCGGCCUUCAAUUUGGAAACUUCCACAAGAAUUACCACCAAUGCUUGAAAGUUUGCAUGGUGAUAUUUGUAGUCCUAUUAAUCCAAUAUCAGGACCAUUUCGUUAUUUUUUGGUCCUUGUUGAUGCAUCAAGUAAACAAUCACAUGUUUCAUUAUUAUCAACUCGAAACAUGGUGUUUGCCAAUCUUAUAUCUAUGCUUAUUCGCUUUCGGGCACAUUUUCCUGAUUAUCCUAUAAAAAAAAUUACAUAUGGAUAAUGUAAAAGAAUUUGCAUCAAAGUCUUUUGAAGACUAUUAUACUGCAACAGGAAUCAAGUUGAUAUAUUGUGUUCCAUAUGAACAUGCUCAAAAUGGACUUGCAAAGUCAUUUAUAAAGCGUAUACAAGUCAUUAUGCAGCCAGUCCUCCUUCACGCAAAUCUACCUACAUCUAUGUGGGGUCAUGCAAUUUUACAUGCUGCAGUAUUAAUACGCCUCCGCCUUUUUUCUCUUGAAAUUGUUUCACUAAAUGAGCUCAUUUCGGAUCGUGUUUCAAAUGUAUCUCACUUACGAGUAUUUGGUUGCCGUGCUUGGAUUCCAAUACCAGAACCUCAAUGGCGUACCAUUGGAGCUUGUCGACAAGAAGGCAUAUAUGUUGGUUUUGAUUCACCAAGCAUUCUUCAUAUUGUUGAUCCAUCAACUGGCACAUUAUUACGUGCACAUUUGUAAAAUUGCUGUUUUGAAGAAAUUGUAUUCCCAUCUCUUCAAGGAGGAGUAUCCAAUCAACAAAGAAAUAAAGUAUUCAUAUUUGAAGCACAAAAAACGUUUACAAUGAAUCCCGAUCCUGGGACAUCUUUGGCAGAAACUGAAGUUGCUAAUAUUUUGCAUAUAAAACGGAUCGCAGAUGAAACACCUGAUGGCUUCAAUGAUGCACCUAGAAUUACAAGAGUUCCUAUUAAUGAGGCUCAGAAUGCACCUACUAAGAUUGCAGUGCCAUUGACUACAAUACCUCAAGUUAUAACAACAACAUUUAAAAGAAAACGUGGACCAGAUAAGCAACCACAUAAGAAGAAAGCUAUAAAAUUAACUAAUCCUGGUAUUAUUUCUCAAGAAAUUGCCACUCAUCUUGAAGGACUAUCAAUUCAUGAUGAUAUAUCUAUGCAUAAUGUACCUUCAAUUCCUAUGAAAAAUAAUCUUGGAAUUAGAAGGAAUAAGAACAAGUUGAGUAAAGAAUUAUCUAUUCUAUAUUGUGCUACAGAUGAUAUUUGGGAUAGACCAUCUAUUAUGGUAGAUGAAUCAUUUGCAUAUAUGAUUAUAGAAGCCCUUUCUUACAAGAAAGACGAUUAUUAACCUCAAACCAUCAAAGAGGGGAUGUGUCUCUCUGAUUGGUCAAAAUAGAAAACUGCUAUUGAGGAAGAGUAUGCCUCUUUGCGUAAGAGAAAAGUCUUUGGUCUAAUUGUAGACACUCUUACAUCUCGCCUUGUGGGAUAUAAAAUAGUAUUAAUAUGCAAGCGAGAUGCUGAAGGCCAAAUAACCCGCUAUAAAGCUCGUCUUAUUGCUCAAGGAUUUUUUCAACAAUUUGGCAUUGAUUAUGAAUCUACAUAUUCUCCACUCAUGGAUUCAAUUACAUUUUGAUAUAUUAUUGGAAUGACAGUUCAUGCCACCCUUGAGAUGCAUCUAAUAGAUGUAGUUACUACAUAUCUAUAUGGUUCUCUUGAUGCAAAUAUUUAUAUGAAAGUUCUACCUGGCUUAGAAACAGGAACUCCAAAUCAACCCACUCUAGGAAAAUAUCGUGGUAUUAAAUUAUGUAAAGCCUUGUAUGAUUUAAAAUAAUCUGGACAAAUGUGGUAUCAACGUCUUCGAGAUUAUUUAAUUAAAAAUAAUUUUAUAAGUGAUCCACUAAUUCCUUGUUUGUUUAUGAAACGAGAUAAAACUGGUUUUGUGAUCAUCGCUGUAUAUGUUGAUGAUUUUAACCUAGUGGGCACUACAUCUGCAUGUGUUACAGCUACAAACCUACUUAUACAUGAAUUUGAGAUGAAAAUGCUAGGAAAAAUAACUUUUUGCAUUGGUCUUUAGAUUAUGCAUCUAACAGAUGGUAGCAUUUUUCUCUACCAACUAACGUAUAUUGGACGAAUUUUGCAAAGAUUUAAUAUGAAUGAUGCUUAUCCAUUAUCCAUACCAAUGGUUAGACAUGGUCGUGAUGGUCAUGAUCCAUACUCUCCAUGCGAGGAGAAGGAGGAAAUAUUGGGAGACCAAUAUCCAUACCUCGCAACGGUUGGAGCACUUUUGUAUUUAGCUACAUCUAUAAGAUCAAAUAUUACAUUUACACUUAGUGUUCUUGCAAGACAUAGUGCACGUCCAAUACUACAACAUUGAAAUGGCAUCAAUAUUUAUUACGUUAUUUAAAAGGUACUGAAGACUUGAAAUUAUAUUACAUAAAAUCUGCAGAUCCAAAAUUGGUUGGAUAUUGUGAUGUAGGAUAUAAAUCUGAUAUUACAAUAGCUAAAUCUCAAACAGGAUAUGUAUUUUUAAGACAUGGAGCUGCAAUAUCAUGGAAAUCAGUGAAACAAACAAUAACUGCAACUUCAUCCAACCAUACAAAAAUUAUUGCCUUACAUGAAGCAUCUCAAGAAUAUAUUUGAUUGCGAUCAAUUGAUAAAUUCAUUCAAACAACCUGUGGAUUUUCAUAUGAUGAUUCUCCAACUAUCUUGCAUGAAGAUAAUAGUGCUUGUAUUGUACAAAUGUAAGUUGGUUUCAUUAAAGGCGACAUGACAAAGCAUAUUGAUCCAAAGUAUUUUAGUUAUACUCAUGAUUUUAUUACUGAUCAAGCACUUAUAAUUAAGAAAAUUGAAUCUACAAAUAACCUUGUUGAUCUCUUCACAAAAGCUCUCCCAUUAAGCAAUCAUCGUCCACUUACUUAUGGCAUUGGUAUGCGACGACUUGCUUUUCUUGAAUAAGAAAGUUUAAGAGCUCUUUAAAUAAUUAAAGAAAAUGAUGUUGUACUCUUUUUCCUUCAUCUAUGGUUUUGUCCUUAAAUAAAAUAAGGUUUUCUUAAAUAAGGUUUUAAUGAGGCAACAAUUCUUGAUCUUACAAGAUCACAGAAAAGUAUAGAUCAUAAAUCUAUAUAAAUUUUAUAUUAUGUAAAUAUUAUGAUGAGCGAGGAGGAGUGUUGAGAUCAUUAAAUGUAGCUGGCGCUCUCCAUAAUAUUUAUUGUAGACUAUAGUAAUUACUAUAGCUAAAGUAUUUAGAGUCUAGUGGAGAAGUACUGUUCAUCUUCUUAUCUUCUCUCUUCUUGUGUAUGAGACACAACUAUAUCAAUAGAUUUUUGUGUGUGUGAAGCUCUCUCUCCUUAGAAACCUUCUUGUGUGUAUGACUUACUAUUACUCUUGUGUGUGUAUGACUUACUACUACUCGUGUGUGUAUGACUUACUAUUACUCUUGUGUCUUUCUAAACAUUCUCAACAAGGUCUAAAAGUAUUAUGAGUUUAAUUAAUGUUGAAUACAAGUCAAAAAUACUUCAGAAAAAGAUAUCCAAUGAGUAUACUUUGAAAACAUAAAUUUAAGGUCAAAUAAAGAAUGUAGUUAAAGAACAUAUAUUCUAAAGAUAAAAAUUAUAUUAAUAUAUAUAUUUUAAAAUAUUUUAAAUUAUGAUGUUUUCCUAGCUAAUAAUAGUAAAAUUAUAAUAAAAAUCUACAAUUUUAUUUUUAUAACUAUUUGUAUAAUAAUUAUUUUUAUGGUUAAUUGUAAAAUAAUUUUUAUAACACUAUAGAAAUUAAUUAACUACAAUAUAAAGAUAGAAAUUACCAAAUAAUACUCAUUCUAAAAGAAAAUAUUAUAUUAUUAAAAAAAUAAAAAAUCAUAUAUUAAAAAGUGACAAAGGGUUAUACAUAAUAUUUUUCAUAAAGUAUGUCACAUUAUGUCUUAUGAAAAAAUAAAUCUCAGUUCAAAGGGGAGAAUCUAAUAAAUUAGUAGAAUCCUCAAAUAAAGAUUAUAUAUAUAUAUAUAUAUAUAUAUAUAUAUAUUUGUUUAUAACCAAAUUUAACCAAAUUUUCUAUAUAACAAAUAUUUUCUAUAUAACAAAUAUAUAUAUAUAUAUAUAUAUAUAUAUAUAAUCUUUAUUUGAGGAUUCUACUAAUUUUUAAGAAUAUAUAUAUAUAUAUAUAUAUAUAUAAUCUUUAUUUGAGGAUUCUACUAAUUUUUAAGAAUAUAUAUAUAUAUAUAUAUAUAUAUAAUCUUUAUUUGAGGAUUCUACUAAUUUUUAAGAAUAUAUAUAUAUAUAUAUAUAUAUAUAUGUAUUUCAAUUAAAAUAUGUAAAGGAUGUCAUAACAUAUCAAUUAAAAGUUAUUUAAGUUCUAUACUUUUAUAUCUUGUGCUAAAACACUUUUUUGUUUUAAUGUUAAUAUUAACGUUUUAUUUUUUUAUUUUUAUUCUCACUGAAGCUAAUAGAUACAAAUCUAUUUUACUAGUUGAAGAUACUAGUAUUAUUAAAAUUAAAGUUAAAAAAAGCUUUAGUUCUAUAUGUAUUAAUGAGAAUAUAUAUAUAUAUAUAUAUAUAUAUAUAUAUAUACAUACAUACAUACAUACAUACAUAUAUCCAAAUAGAAAACUAAAAAAACAAGUAUAAAGAAAGUAGUUGUAUAGAUGAAUUUUGAAUCAAAUUAACCAUGAUAGUUGUAAAACAAGAUUUUGUCAAUUAUUAUAUACAACUUAAAUAUAAUAAUAUAAAAUAGUAUUACGACCCAUUAAAAUAUAUAUUUUAAAAUAAUUAUAUUUACAGUUGAUGUCUAUAUAUAUAUAUAUAUAUAUAUAUAUAUGAUUAUUUAAUAAUGACUUUACUUUUAAAAAAAUUAAAAAUUAACUUUAAAUGCUUUAAAUGUCAACAUAUCAACUUUUAUUGUGCUUCUAAUAUGACAACCAUAAUAUUGUAGGCUUGACCACAAGGACAAAAUUAAAUAACAUUAAUGGGUGUUGAUAAUAUAAAUAAUAGUUUUUUUGACCAAAGCAAAAAAUAGUUUUUAUAUGAAUGAAUAAUGAACAUAUUAAAUAAUUUUGAAAAAAAUAAAAGCUCAUAUAUAUUAUUUAAAUUGUAGUUGCUAAUAUAUCAUAAUAAGUAUUUUCUGAUUUUUUAAAAUUAAAAUAUUAAAUAAUAUUAGUUAGUUUUUAGACAAAAUGCAUGAUGUUAUCUUUUGAUAUUAGUUUUAUGUUUUUAUAAACACCAAAUAUUAUAAUUUAUGUGUUAAUUUAAAAAAAAAAUUUAGAAUGAAUUAUUUUAUAUUUUUUUCUUCAAAAAUCAUGUCUUACAUAUUACACUUAUUUAAAUUUUAUCAACUUAUAAAGUAAUUAUAUCAAAAACAUGCAUGAAAUUUCUUCUUCUAUGUAAAAAUAUAUAAUUAUUGAAAUUAAUUUUAUAUUAAAAUAUAGUCUAUCUAAUUUAUCUUAUAUAAAAUUAUAUCAAAAAUUUAUUGAGAAAAUCCUUGUAAUAUUGAUAAAAGUUAGUAUCUCACUUCAUUAUCAUUCUCAUUUUUGAACAACGGUAAAAAUUAUUAAUAUUUUGUUUCAAAUAAAUUUGUAAAAAUAAAAAUAUUAUCUUUUGAUAUUGAUCACAUAUUCAUUUAUGUAUUUCUUAUAUGUGUCAUUCAUCUAGUACUUUACUUCAUUAUCUUACAACAUUCGUAAUUUUUUGAAACCCUAAAACAUCAAUGCCAUUCUUACUUUUUACAAUAAAAUUACAAAACUAUAUAUAUAUAUAUAUAUAUAUAUAUACACACACACAUGCAUAUCUCACAACACAUUUGAAUGCAAAUCUUUCAGUGACAAGAUGCAAAACCCAAUUGAAAAAUAGUUCAACAGACAUUGGUUGCUUUGAAAUGAGUAAAAACAAACCCACACUCUAGAAAUAGGAUGAAAUGUGGAGAAAAUCUAGUGAAGAAGAGAAACGCAAGUGUUAUUACAUAAAAGUAUGCAAGUAGAAUAUAACCACAUAUGCACGGUGAGAAGAUGAAGAUAAAAAAGGAGAAGUUAACGAGGAAUGGGAAAAAGUAAAAGUAACUAGAGGAGGGGCUCGAGGUGGGGCACAUGGCAUGGGCACAGGGGAACGGAGGGGACAAGAAGCAACCAUCGUGGGGAACCAACUCCCCCAAAACCCUCCUCUACACUCAUCCCCCCCCAGGGCCCAAAUUAGCGGACCCAGAUCCUGUCCCACGUCCCCUAAGUUUAGCAUACCGGGUUUGCUAAAAAAGCAGCGGGUCCACGUGGCAAGAACGGGAGGGGACGCAAUUGCAGACGCGCCACUUGCACCAUCGGACGAAGUCUUCCCACCCGCGCCUCUUUUCACUCGUGAGAAGCAAAUAGAAGGUUCGGUUCCGAACCUGGGCAACUCCCCUAAGUAGGGGUGCCGCAAUGAAAUGGAUGACGCCCGAAGUCGGGGGAGGGAGGAGGAGGGUGAGAUGAGUAGACGGAGCAGUGCAGACCACCGUUGAGCGAGAGAAAGAGAGAGGGCGAUGGAGGGAUUCGGAGCGAAAAGAUAGGUUGCAAGGAGAGCUUGUUGAAGCUGCUGAUGCUGCGGCACCGAGUCCCAAGUCUCCCCCGCAGCCCCCCUACUUGUGCGCCAGUUUCGAUGACCUGCGGUAUCGCGCGGGCCCACUUUUUGUCGGUUCGGGCAGACCUCCGAUAAUUCUGUGAUAGGAUAAUAUGACGACGUAAUCGAAAACAGUGUGCUUCCCGUCAGAGACUCGGGAUUAAGGUGUUGUUGCUUGGAGUUCUCGCGAGUGAGCAGGCGGGUUUUUUCCUGUCAUUGCCAACCGUGUGUGUCCGCGUUUGCUAUGGUCGGACACAUUUGUGCUGCAUCCGAGGAAGGGAGGGGUUCUUUUGAUGUGGUGGGUGUGAUGUGAUGUGGUGAGGGCUUUGAUGAUCAUAACCCCGCCCGCACUUCAAAAUUCUUUGCAUUCCGGAUAUUUUGGGUGAUCGCCCGUCUCGGUGAUUGUGCACUCAGCGUGGUCUGUUUCCCUCCCUCGCUCAAGCCCGACCCCUUAGUCCCACAGCCCCUUUUCCUUGUACUUGUUUCUCCAAAUUGUAGAGUCUGGAAGGUGCAUAGCACUCUGCAGGUCGUGGUUUUUUGACUUGUUGUAUGAAAUCUUUGGUCCUUCGCCAAACGAGCGCUGCAGGGGGUGAGACUGCUUGUCAUAUGGUGCAGCAUUGUGUUUCGGGUUUACAUUGUGGGUUUGUCUGCGCGUCUGUUGACGCAGCUCGGUUGACUUGCUUACUGGAACCUGUAAACUUCGGUAGGGUUUGGUUUCCGCCGGGUGGGGGCAAAGAAACCGAGGUGCCAUGGCGACGGCUCUCAUGAGAGAGGUGCGCCCACGAAGUCUUUCCUUCUGCUCUUGCAAAUAUGGGGAGGGAGUGAGCUUAGUUGGUUGCGAAGAACAAAUGGUGGGUUAUCCUGUCGUCGAGGCAUCUGAUGGGUUUAUUUUCUGGCAUCGUCGAUGAAUUGUGCAGACUUUCUUUGGAAUCCAUGGGCCUGCAUGGACGGGCCUGCAUGGGAUGGAGCAUCCGCCUUAUUUUGUCGAAGCUCAUUACAUGGGCUUCCGCGAAAUGGAGCCUACUUAUUCCGUGUACGGGGAGCCCCACUUCAGCCCUUAUGAUUCGUCGUCAUUCCCUGUGGGGAUAUCCGGAAGUCCAAGUUUUGUGCAUGUUGGCGAACCAAUGUAUUACGAGACACUUGGUCAUCUAGGCUCUCUUCGGCCGCCCUAUUCGAUUCCCAUGCAUGGUUAUCCCAAAGAAGCAUCUUAUGAAGAUGUGCCCCAACAUGGUCCGACUCGGUCGUCGAGUUCUGUUCCUUCUUACAGUGCUGCUCGGUCAGAAGCGCGCGAACCUCGUCCUAAGCAACAGAAAGUGGCGCCAGUAAGACCUGGUUCCUCUUUUCUACCCUUCAAAUGCAGUCCACUUUACAGGAUGUGUUUUCUAUGUUCAAAGCAUUUACUGGAGCAGUUUAAUUUUGUAUUGUCGAAAGAGUAAGGCUUUUGCGCAGUCUAAACCUGGUGUUGUUAUAUUGUUGUUUCAGGAAAUUGAGCUGAAGGUGCCGAUGUGCUGUAGUAAAUGUGAAGGGAAAAUGAGGGAGAUCUUACGGAAAUUAGAGGGUAAGGUUAUUAUUUACAGGGCUGUGUAGGGUGCCAUUCUUGGAGCAGGUGUCUUUGAGUGGCGGCUGCGCUAGUGGUGUUGAUCUUGAAGGGUUAAGUAGCAUUUGUGCUCACCAUGAGUUGUGCGUUAUGUGGUUAACACAGGCGUGACGGACGUGGUUGCGGAUAGGCAUUCCUCGAAGGUGACUGUGAUUGGCAAGGUGGAUCCCGAAGUAGUUUUGAAGAAAGCGCAGAAGCAAAAGAAAAAGGCUGAUUUCUGGACGAAGGAUAUCUACAGCAAAGCGUUUAUCGACUUUAUACAAUCGAAGACUGGUAGAGCUGAGCCCGAGGAGGAAAUAACUUCUUCCUACCAUCAGCAUCUGUCUAUGGAUGAAUGUGAAAGUCAUCAUGCAUAUGAAGAAAGUGAGAGUUUAUCGUCUUUCGAAGAAUAUCCAGGGUUUUACCCAGAAAGGGAUGCUCAUGCCCCAUAUGAUGGGGAUGCUCAAUACGGAGAUAAUGAAUUCAGCGACAGGAACAGAGGAUAUUACCAUGCGUACAGUUACGGUAAGAGGAACGAUCAGCCGACGUACGGAAGGCCUUCUCAUGAAUAUAUGCAAGAAUCUUACGCAAGCAGGGACGACAGGUCUCCAUACGAGGGGUAUGGCGUUGAACAUUACGAUCGUUUCGAACCAGCUUAUGGAGCUGAGGAUCGACUGCCGUACUAUGAACGGGAGAGCAGAUCGGCGUAUGAGGAUUAUAGAUCGCCAUAUUAUUCAGAAUCCAGCUCCUACAGACCGAGCCAGUCUUAUGGUCCAAGCGAGGGAUAUAUUCCAUCCGAAAUCUCGAAUCCAGGUUACAUGAAACGCGUGAUCUACUGAAACGAGUACUGGAGGCUUACAUUGGGUUUUACAUUGUAUUGAAGGUUUUCACGGCAGAUCACACUCAUCUGAACUGCGGAGUGCGAGAGAACCUUGUCUGUCGAGACCGAGAAACUCCGAGAGAAUACGUCAAGGUUCUCCGGAAAGUGUACAAAAAAUAGGCUUACCCUAACACGAUGACAUGAGUAGUGCUCCGAAGUUUUGAACGCAUGUUGAACGGAUGUGCUGAUUGGAGCAUAUUAGAAUUACAAUUUUUGAUAGUAACGCUGACCUGAUAGUGUAGUGUCACAUGAUGGUGAUGUGUGAAGCCUGUCAUUGACUUGCAACAUAAUGGGAAUGAGACAGGGCAUCCUUGGUUGGGAGGAUGUUUAAGGUUCUUGUAGUUGCAGAAGAAUGGUGGAGCGAUCACCUGCAUACCAAUGUGAUAGGCCGUCUUUUCAAGCAAUUUGUACAACAGGAACUUCACACUCUCUCGAUUGCUACUUGAUGUAUUGGUUUGAAUGAUUGGUGAUGACGAUGAAUCGAGAUCCUUUGCUACAUGUUUUGGUUGCUGGGUGGUGUCUCCUGUUGGGUGAAUCGCAGUGUUGUUGGAGAUUGCGUGCAGGAUGUGGGCGAUGGAGUCCCCUGUUUGACUGCUGUAGCAAAGGAAAUUGCACUCCGAGUGCAUGAUGGUGCGUGUUUUGUGGAACGAUGUUGCACUUGGUUGUUAGUCCGUUUGCUUGGUUUUUCCGUGACCGAUUAUACCAUCCCUUGUUUUUUUGCCUGAGAAUUGAAUACUAUCCAUGAAGUGGAAUUAUCGUCAAGGUUACUAGGGUUGGCUACGUCGUGCUUGAGGGAUGACUGCAUUGAAAUCGUUACCUUGUCGAGAUUGUGUUCGUUGAUGGAUUUGUUUGCGUGCAAUGUGAUAAAAGGAGGAAUCCCGAGUUUAGAUCCACACGCUUACGAACACGUCGCUGAUAAAUCCCAGCUGUUGUGAAUGUGCUACUUUUUCGUGACGAGAUGCCAUCUGCCAAUAUGCUGUGUUGUGGAGAAGAUGUUGGCAUAUUCAUUCCAAGAAAUAUGGACUUGGUCCAUGAUCUACCGCAUGUGGAAAUCGAGGAAACUGAUUGUCGAUCAAGUUCCCAGCUACUGUGAACAAUCGAUGAAAAGUGGAGCUCCUUGACCUCUACUGCUAAUGCGUUUCGUUCACUACGAGGUGGGCGGAACGAACUCUCAGUUUCUUCUAUAUUCUUUCUUGUCUCGCUUCUCUGUGGCGGAUAUUAUCUGGGUGUCUUUGAAUUGUGUUGGAUCCAAGGUAGAUAUUCGGGGGGCAUCGACAGUUGGGUGGCGACGUUGAUGAUGGUGUGGCAUUUCCACUGUGGUCGGUUUAUACUCCACUUCGUGAGUCCCCCUCUCCCCCCGGAUUCCUUGCACAGCGUAGAACUUGACGUGGGGUCCAUCACUUUGGUGGCCAUGUAUCAGCGUGCGAGUAGAUCCUGUUUGAUGCCAGCCUUGGACAUAGUGCUCAACUUGCACCGUCGUGCGUGGUAGAUCUGUGCGUCUUUUUAAAGCACAAAUGGGGGAGUGGGCAUUUGUACGAUGGCGUGGGAUUUUCUCAGCUUCUUUUAGUUCUUGCAGUGAUUGAGCAGUUGACAACUUCCAACCUUAAUGAUAUUGCUGAGUUGGCUCUAGUCUGUGUUCUAUCUUGUGCAAGGUGGAGUGUUCCAUACCCAAACAGAGCUUUUGUUAGAAUUUUUUUGUCAGUUGUGGCCAAUGUUUAAAGUUGGUUCUAAAGGUUUUCAGCAAAACGUGGCUACAGAAUUUUAACUCAUACAUUUUUUUGAACUUUCUGAAAUGAAUUUUACUAAUCCUAACCAUGUAUGUGUUACAACGCAGGUUUUUAAGCUAGAUCCUCGUUAAAUGGACUUGUAAGUUUUAUUUUUUAAAAUGUAAGGAAAAAGUCAUGUUUGGUUGUGUAUGCGUGGUAUAAAUGAUUGAUGGUUCUAAACGUGUUUUAGACAAUGUUGAAAAUGUCGCAAAUAUCGUAGUUUUCAAAGUUAGUGAUGAUUUUUCGGGAUUUAGUGUUUGACGUGCAUGGAGACAAAGUGGAUGAUUUCUUACGGUUCGUUUUGAAAUAUGAAAUAAAUGUUUUUAACAGAUUAAGUCCAUUUUGUAUAAAUAUAUAUGGUAGUGUUGAGGGCCCUUGUUUUGCUUUGGAGGUAUCUCAGCAAAGAGAUUUAUUAAUGUAGAAUAAUAUACAAUAUAAUACUAAAUUACAAUGCAAAUAAUAUAAGCAUGAAUCCCAUAAAUAUAUUUUUAUUGACACCAUAAAAACUAGUUAAACUAAUGAUAAAGUAAAUACAUGUGCACAAAAAAAAAAAAAAAAAAAACAAAAGUCAUCAAUGAAAAUAACAUGUAUAUUUGUAAAAAUGUAACAAGAAGAUCAAUUUCAUGCAAUUUUUUUACAAUUAAACUUCUAAUUUACAUGUGAAAAACUCUAAUCAAAUUAUAUGAUUUUGAAUUUUAUUAACUAAUAUAUCUUUUAUAUCAUGAAUGGACUAACUCAAAAUCACCACCUUAAUAUACAUAAUUUGAAAACAUAAGGAGAAUCAGUUUUACAAUUUAGAGUAAUAGAUUCAGCCAUGUUGCGGUAAAAUAUAUAUUGAGUUUUUUUCACAAAAUUCAUUAGGUGUCAUAAAUGUAAUUUAUAUAAUUAUUGUUGUAAAAGUUUAUUGAAAUUUUUUCAACAAUUGUAAAAGUUUAUUGAUACUCAUACUAUUUUUAUUAGAUAAAAAAAAUUUAGUUGAU
rnacentral:lncRNA from 1 species